UACGUAGGGUGCAAGCGUUGUCCGGAAUUAUUGGGCGUAAAGAGCUCGUAGGCGGUUCGUCGCGUCGGCUGUGAAAACCCGGAGCUCAACUCCGGGCCUGCAGUCGAUACGGGCGGACUUGAGUGUUGCAGGGGAGACUGGAAUUCCUGGUGUAGCGGUGAAAUGCGCAGAUAUCAGGAGGAACACCGGUGGCGAAAGCGGCUCUCUGGACCACAACUGACGCUGAGGCGCGAAAGCUAGGGGAGCAAACAGG
rnacentral:rRNA from 1 species